UGACGACUGGGCCAGAGCACAGGCGGACCCUCGAGCGAGAGGCAGCAACGCGCGCUUGUUCGCGUCGUCUUCAUUCGCCUUUCUUUUGGACCGGGUGAAAACCCUAGAUGUCCUCCCGUCCCCAAUCGCUUGCCUCCUCUCCUCCCCCAAUCCCCAGCUCCUCUCCCGUCUUCCAAUCGGCCGCCACCUUCCUUCUCCUCCUCCUCCAAUCCGCGCCAUCUCCUCUUCUCCUUCCCAAUCCAGACGCUGCAGGAGGGAUGAGGGGAGGCAGGCCGCCGCAGCCGACGUGAGCCAGGAGGGAGCGCAGGUGCCACUGCCUCGUAUACCUCGCAUCUAGAGAGCGGGGCGAAGGACAGUUGCCGGGGGGCGCUGCUGCGUGGAGCGCGGGGAGGCCAUGGUAACCGCCGGUCGCGGGCAUCACCGUGCGAAGAGUAUGUGGGCAGGGGCCGCAUCAGCCGCCGCCGCGGGUCGACGCCGCCGUAGCGGCCAUGGAUGGAGUGGUGGCGACCAGGUGUGUGCAAGCUCUGCGGUUCGGAGGCAGUUCGGAGGCAGCGCCUCCCUCCUCUCCUCCUCAUUGGGUGCAGGCCUUUGCACGAGGUGAUUGUAUGUCGGCGAGAGACCAUAUCAAGUAGCGCGAAGGAGAUCUGCUGCCUCUUCUAUGAAUCUUCCCCAGUCAGGGUAAAUUCGUUGUCAACGGUUGUUUAGUCUGUUUGGGAGAUGAUGCUCAUGGUGCCAGGUCUACUCACUCUAUUGACCCAACUGUAUCGGAAUGAGAGCAAGGCAAUGUCAUAAGUAUAUCGCUUUACGGCCUACCGAUCUGCAUCACAUAGCCACAUUGUGUUAUGGCCAGAACACAACCUCUCGUGCCAGUGUCUAAUAGCUUCAGGCUUGAAACUAUCUGAGUUGACAUUUAAAUUGAAGAAGACUCUGGGACAUGGCUGGCAAGGAGCGGAGGCAGCCGUGCCUCCUCCCUCUUCCGUGUCCUGCAACAGCGAUGUCAGGUUGGCCUCCUAGAGCUGCAUAUAGAGCGCC